rnacentral:rRNA from 1 species
CCUACGGGUGGCAGCAGUGAGGAAUAUUGGUCAAUGGACGAGAGUCUGAACCAGCCAAGUAGCGUGAAGGAUGACUGCCCUAUGGGUUGUAAACUUCUUUUAUAAAGGAAUAAAGUGCGGCACGUGUGCCUUUUUGUAUGUACCUUAUGAAUAAGGAUCGGCUAACUCCGUGCCAGCAGCCGCGGUAAUACGGAGGAUCCGAGCGUUAUCCGGAUUUAUUGGGUUUAAAGGGAGCGUAGGUGGGUUGUUAAGUCAGUUGUGAAAGUUUGCGGCUCAACCGUAAAAUUGCAAUUGAUACUGGCAGUCUUGAGUACAGUUGAGGUAGGCGGAAUUCGUGGUGUAGCGGUGAAAUGCUUAGAUAUCACGAAGAACUCCGAUUGCGAAGGCAGCUUACUGGACUGCAACUGACACUGAUGCUCGAAAGUGUGGGUAUCAAACAGGAUUAGAUACCCCAGUAGUC